GCUUGCCUAGCAAGCGCAAGGCCCUGGGUUCGGUCUCCAGCUCCGAAAAAAAAGAAAAAAAAAAAGAGAGAAAGAGAGAGGAAGAAGAGAGCCCUGUAGAUACCUCCCAGCAGGGAUAUUAAAAGACAGGUAGGUUAAGAAGAAGUGUCACAGUGGGCACGCCCCCAUUGUGACAUCACUAGCCAGGGCAGUGGAGAGUGAUUCAGGUUGACUAGAUGAGGAGAGGAGCAGGUAACAGGAGCCAAGAUCAGAAUAGAGUAGUCAUGAAGGAACUCUUGGUAGGGAUAAGGGAGUAGGAAAGAUCAAAGGUAGAGGUGUUCCACAGUCACGGAUCUUAAAAUGUGAAUUGUAUUCCAAAGGGCGACUAUGGUCUGAAUGGCUGAAAUAGAAUGAAUGCACUUAAUAGUUUCAGAGAAGUAAGACAGUGAGCUUGAAGAUUCCUGUGGAUGGUGUGAUAGCCGUUUGAUGUGUUGUGUCGGCCUGACUUCUGCUCCCGUCACUUGUCCAGACACUAAGGCAGGAGUUGCUAUGAAAGCAUUUUUUGCCUGCGAUUGAAGACCAUAAUCUGCUGAUUUUAGCCGAGCGAGAGAGCCCUAGAGAGGCCGGUUGGUCUGCCACAAGACUGAGAGUGGAGCUGAUGCUUCCUCAAGGAGGAAAAAGUCUGCCUGAGCCCCAACACUUCAGCCAGUGCUGUUUGUCCUGAUGCUGCUCUCUGGGAUUUUGGACCUGCCUGGCUUGCCCCACAGCCACAUAAAACAUUCCGUCUGCUUGCAGGAACGUUGGAACCGCAGAGCAUCAUGGGACAUCCUUUCUGAGGAUUUGAGAAGUCUUCCCUGCUUACAGAUGGAAGGAAGCCCUGUUCUACCUGAUCCCUGGCUAAUGCUAGGGUUCAGAUUUAUCUGCUCACCUGCAGGAUGAUAUUACAGCAGCCAUUGUGCAUGACAGGUAAGAGAACCUGGUGAGAGAAUGUAGCCUCAAGGAGGAAGAACGGGGCUUCACAAAUAAAUGCAGCCCUGGAGUCUGAAACCCCUAGGAUCCAGUCAGAGAGAGGAUGUCUGCUAAGAAACCAGUAAUCUCCUCCUCCCCCUUCCUCCUCCCUCUCCUCUUCCUCUUCCUCCUCCCCCUCCUCCUCUUCUUCUUCUUCUGGAUAUUUUUUUAUUUACAUUUCAAAUGUUAUUCCCUUUCCAGGUUUCCUGUCCAUAAGCCCCCAUCCCCUCCCCCUCCCCUUCUUCUAUAAGGGUGUUUCUCCUCCCCAUCCACCUCCCUUUCCUGCCCCCCCACAUUCCCUUACACUGGGGGUCCAACCUUGGCAGGACCAAGGGCUUCUCCUCCCAUUGGUACCCAAGAAGGCUAUCCUCUGCUACACAUGCAGUUGGAGCCAUGGGUCAGUCCAUGUAUAGUCUUUGGGUAGUGGUUUAGUCCCUGGCCAGAGUUGUUCUUCUAAACACUAACCAUUAGACUGCACCAUAGCAAGGCGUUAGUUAGCAAACAUUGCUGAAACUAAAGGAGAGAACUGUACCUAGCUAAUGGCCAUGAAUCCUGGAGGGUCAGGGUCCUAGGGGUGAGGUAAGGUCCUAGCUCUGGGAAGAACAUGUACAGGGCCCAGAGUGAGGGAGCUUGUCUGAGAGUCCAUAACAGGUGCUCACAGUGCUUCAGGAAGUGCAGUCUCUGUGGAAGGCAUUACCAGCAGGGCAAGCCCAGGUCUAGGCACAGGUAGCAUGAGGAAGGUGAGGUCUGGUGAGGAUCCACCUAAGGAUGGGUUCCUUUGCCACAGAAAACUGCGACUGCCUGUUGUGGAUCUCAAGCAUCUGCUCCAUUGCAAAUAUUCCUUCUUUUUCCUCAGAUGCUUUCUUUCCUGACUGCCCAAUUUAUUUCCACCUAUAGCUCACCAGAGUGCCAGCCUCUCUCACAAGCCUCUGGUGUCAGUUGUCACUUUGAAGAAAUCGAAUGACAGCUGUUUCCACUGUCUUCUGCUAUGAGGCUAACUAUAAUCCAGUAACCUUAAAUGUCCCCGCCAAUUCUACCUUUUGUCUUCUAAGCGAGGGUUGGGUAGCCUUGGUGCCCACCCUACCAACAUCAGGAAAUUGGCCCGAGUGGCCGUCAGGUGCAGCAGAUGGCUCUGUGUGCUUUUGAAUAGCUGCAAAACCAAUGGACAGAACUUUCACCGGAAGUUCUCAAAACCCCUGUGUGUACAGGAAUGGACUCCUUCCCUGCUCUGUUAAGUCUUAGCCCUCCUCUGUUUUUAAGGCAGGGAUAGAGAAUGCCUCCUGGGGUUUUCCCCUACCAUAACGAGGUGCUGUCUUCACACCUGCCUUACUGAAAAAGACCUGAGCAGAUUUUGAAUACGAAGCAACGUGUUCUUGAUUUCACCUUCAAUUAACUUUCAGGAUUUAUUGUUCUUAGAUUUGUAUCCUCACGCAGAAGUGAUGCAUCCCUAAGACUUGGAAUUAUCUAACGAGAGGCCAGUUUCCUGCUUAUUAUACCUUAGUAACAAAGUCCACCGGCUACGAUAGCCAGCAAAUCAAUAAUGAAUGCUCUUACGGCCUACGUAAUGUGAUACGUUGGAAUUAAGUGAGUGAUGCUUGCACGCAGGUGGGGAGAGAGAGGAGGAGCAGGCGGGAGACAGCAGCAGUGUGCUGAGAAAGGCCUCAUGCCUUUCAGGUUGACACUGAAGAGAAACAUCACAUCCUCUCCCAGCUCCAACACAUUCCUCGUCUGCGCAUAAGAAAUUACUUAAAGAUGGCGAGAGCUUCCUGCGUGACCUUUGCAGCCACUUCUUUGCAGUGAGUUUUGGCUGCUUACUGAAUGAAAAAAAAAAAGGAUCCAGAGAUGAACGGUCAGGAAAUUGGCUGCUCUUCCCAUUAGCUUUAGAACGUUCUGUACUUCAUGUACUGGAGUGUGUGCUGAUGAUGAAGUGCUUUGUGGAUGCCGCAUGGUAACUCAUAUACUCAAGGCUAUGCUUGCCAGCCAUCACAUUCAGGCUCCAGCUUCUCUGGCCCUGAGAGGUUUCCUUUCGUGCAUUGCAUUUCCCUGAGAACCUCCCUCCACAGGAAGCUGUAAAACACAAAGACAUUUGAAGACCUCCUGAGGAAAACAUCCAGCUGCUCUUGCUUCUCACUGAUUGGGGAGCUUUGUAAACCAGGAUCCUGUAACUAUAACAAAAUACCAGAGAGAGUCAACAUGGAAGGAGGAAAGGUCCAGCACUGUUGGCUUUGAUGCUUUGGGUCUGUGCUGAGGCCGCACUCUCCUGGUAGGAGCCCAUGGCUGAGAAGGCUCUCACCUUAAGGAAGCCAGAAACAAAAGAGAAAGGAAAAGUAGAGCCCAGUGUACUGAUAUCCCCUCCAGGACAUGCCCUCAAUGAUCUAAUUUUCUUCCUCUAUACCAAAUCAUAUCUCCUGAAGUUUCCAGGACUUCUUGGUAGUGCUGUAGGCUGAGAACUAAGGGCUCUAGGGAGCCUAUUAAAAAUCAAUCAAUCAAUCAA